rnacentral:lncRNA from 1 species
AUAAGCAUCGGAGACGUCGGGGACGCAGCGAAACCGCCGCCACCGCCGCCCGACGACGACCGACGCAUGUCGCGCGACACACUGCCAAAGCCAUUGGCAUGACGCGCACGUCGAUCCGGCUGCACCGACGCAGCCGGGCAGGCAAAGCGCGACGACGACGACCCAAUGCCCAAGUCGGCAGACAGGCCGCCGCGUACAUCACCGCCUGUCGCUGGGGCCUCCUGGGCAAUGCCGCCAAAGUAGGGAUCGCGCCCGCGCAGGGCGCUCUUGCGUCCACGGUCGGCGCCGUGCCGACGACCCGUUCGACCGUCGUCGUAUGCGCCUCCGCCGUCGCGAUCGCCCAUCUGCCUGUCGUUGCGGUCGUAAUCAUUGUCGCCGCCGCCACCGUUGCUGCUGCUGGUGGAAGUGGUGCUGUCGUCAUCGGCGUAGCCGUUGUCGUCGUCGUCGCCGAGCGGGUCGAUGGCGGCAAAGGCGUCGUAGGGCAGCGCCGUUUGGUCGCGGUCGGGCGCGCGCGUGCGACCGCCAAAGAAACCCGCCGGGAUCGUGCCCGACGAGAGCGCAGACAUGCCCGCCAUCGACGACAUGGAUCGUCCUCUUUUUUUGGUUCGUUUUUUUGUUUUCUCCAGAUAUACCUUUUCCCC